AUUGAACGCUGGCGGCAGGCCUAACACAUGCAAGUCGAGCGGAUGAAGGGAGCUUGCUCCUGGAUUCAGCGGCGGACGGGUGAGUAAUGCCUAGGAAUCUGCCUGGUAGUGGGGGAUAACGUCCGGAAACGGGCGCUAAUACCGCAUACGUCCUGAGGGAGAAAGUGGGGGAUCUUCGGACCUCACGCUAUCAGAUGAGCCUAGGUCGGAUUAGCUAGUUGGUGGGGUAAAGGCCUACCAAGGCGACGAUCCGUAACUGGUCUGAGAGGAUGAUCAGUCACACUGGAACUGAGACACGGUCCAGACUCCUACGGGAGGCAGCAGUGGGGAAUAUUGGACAAUGGGCGAAAGCCUGAUCCAGCCAUGCCGCGUGUGUGAAGAAGGUCUUCGGAUUGUAAAGCACUUUAAGUUGGGAGGAAGAGAAGUAAGUUAAUACCUUGCUGUUUUGACGUUACCAACAGAAUAAGCCCCGGCUAACUUCGUG
rnacentral:rRNA from 1 species